AUGUUAUAGUGAAAAUUGUGCCAUCUGCUGGCGGUUUAAUGCUAUGACAUCAUGAUUUCUUUGUCACAGUCUGUCUCUGUGUGUGUGUGUGCUUCAUUAAACUAGCAAAUAAAAACUCUCUCCAUGUGUUUUAAAUCAUAACAGGUUUUUUUAUUUUUUAUCUCAGGUUCAAAUAUUGAGCAGCAAGCCUUUGACGGUAUUAAUACAUGCAAUGACCGCGAUUGAUCCAGACAGCGCAGCCGAUGACAGUUAUCGAUCUCACGCAAGAUGGCGAUGAAGAUCCCACCGUCAACGUAACAGACAAACCUCACAUCCUACCUGAUUCCACUCCAGCGCACGUCGAGAAUCCAAUAGGAUCCGGCGGCGAACCA